GGUCCUGUGGCCUAAUGGCAAGGGUAUGUUAUUCAUCUUUUCGAAUGCAAGAUAUAUUUCCUAACUUUACUAGCAUUGCUUUCCGGUGCUCAUUUCCAGAGUUUGGCAAAGAUUGCGGGUUCGAGUCCCGUCGGGAUCG
rnacentral:tRNA from 1 species